UCCGGUUUGGCACCGGCAGUCUUCCUAGAGUCCCCGCCAUUACGCGCUGGCAACUAAGAACAGGGGUUGCGCUCGUUGCGGGACUUAACCCAACAUCUCACGACACGGGCUGACGACAGCCAUGCAGCACCUGUGCACGGCCCUUACGGACCCCCCAUCUCUGGAGGAUUUCCGUGCAUGUCAAGCCUAGGUAAGGUUCUUCGCGUUGCAUCGAAUUAAGCAACAUGCUCCGCCGCUUGUGCGGGCCCCCGUCAAUUCCUUUGAGUUUCUACCUUGCGGUCGUACUCCCCAGGCGGGGUACUUCCUGCGUUAGCGCCGGCACCCAGAGGGUCGCUCCCCCAGGCACCUAGUACCCAUCGUUUACGGCGUGGACUAC
rnacentral:misc_RNA from 1 species